rnacentral:rRNA from 1 species
CACGUAGGGCGCAAGCGUUGUCCGGAAUUAUUGGGCGUAAAGAGCUCGUAGGCGGUCUGUUGCGUCCGCUGUGAAAACUCGGGGCUUAACCCCGAGCCUGCAGUGGAUACGGGCAGACUAGAGGUAGGUAGGGGAGAAUGGAAUUCCCGGUGUAGCGGUGAAAUGCGCAGAUAUCGGGAGGAACACCAGAGGCGAAGGCGGCGACCUGGACAAGUAUUGACACUGAACUACGAAAGCGUGGGGAGCAAACAGG